AAGAGAUUUAGACAUUUUCUGGCCUUCAAUAUGCAAAUGACCUGCAUGAAAGAAAUAAUUCACCCAUUGGGGACAGUCAAAAUAGGCCUCACUUUGUGCCAACUCAUUAUCGUGAUGAGGGAAUGCCAAAUCAAUUCCACCAGAGUGAAUAUCAAUAUUGGAACCAAGUAGAGCGCUAGCCAUGACAGAACAUUCGAUAUGCCAACCAGGACGUCCUUUGGACCAAGGACUAUCCCAAGAGGGUUCACCAGGUUUACUGGCCUUCCAAAGCGCAAAGUCUCCCGGACGCUUUUUACCGGUGAGAGCAGCCAAGGAACCCUCGCCCUCAGCAAUUAACUCUCGAUUUCCUUUAUUCCAGGGCUCCAAUUUAGCAUAAAAAUGACCACCUUUUUCGAAAGCCUCUGUGUCGAAGUAAACGCUACCGUCUGUAACUGGAUAAGCAUAACCGCGAUCGAUAAUGCGCUGAACAAAAUCUACGAUUUCAGGAACAUAUUCCGAAACUCGCGUAACAGCAGUAGGUGGCAAGACAUUCAGAUUAGCCAUGUCCUUGUUGAAGUCAUCUUCCCAAUAAGCUGCAAGUUUACGAAAGAUUGCAGGAUCAGUCACGGUGCUACCCAAUUCUGCAUCAAGCAAUGGGACCAAAACAUCUUGUACCUUGGGCCAAAACCCAUCCAAAGAAAUGAUUUCAGAAGCUUCACUCACCUGAAGAGCGUCCAAAGCAGACUUUAAAGCAUCCACAUGCAUGGGUAACUUGGGAUUGUUGAUAGCUAAAGUGGGAAUAUCAUGGGAUGCGAGCCAUUGAGGCCAUUCACUCAUCGAGGAGGGAGGUUCAGGAAGAUUUUUCUUGGCAUAUGCAAACCAAGCCUCAGUAACCUUUUCACGAGCUUCUGAAUGGGAUUUGUUAGUACCUUGCUGCU